GAUGAAGAACGCAGCAAAAUGCGAUAAGUAAUGUGAAUUGCAGAAUUCAGUGAAUCAUCGAAUCUUUGAACGCACAUUGCGCCCGCCAGUAUUCUGGCGGGCAUGCCUGUUCGAGCGUCAUUUCAACCCUCAAGCGCAGCUUGGUGUUGGGACUCGCGUUAAUUCGCGUUCCCCAAAUUGAUUGGCGGUCACGUCGAGCUUCCAUAGCGUAGUAGUAAAACCCUCGUUACUGGUAAUCGUCGCGGCCACGCCGUUAAACCCCAACUUCUGAAUGUUGACCUCGGAUCAGGUAGGAAUACCCGCUGAACUUAAGCAUAUCAAUAAGCGGAGGA
rnacentral:misc_RNA from 1 species